rnacentral:rRNA from 1 species
ACUCCUACGGGAGGCAGCAGUGGGAAGUAUUGCACAAUGGGGGAAACCCUGAUGCAGCCAUGCCGCGUGUGUGAAGAAGGCCUUCGGGUUGUAAAGCACUUUCAGUAGGGAGGAAGGUAGUGUAGUUAACACCUGCAUUAUUUGACGUUACCUACAGAAGAAGCACCGGCUAACUCCGUGCCAGCAGCCGCGGUAAUACGGAGGGUGCGAGCGUUAAUCGGAAUUACUGGGCGUAAAGCGCAUGCAGGCGGCCUGUUAAGUCAGAUGUGAAAGCCCGGGGCUUAACCUCGGAAUUGCAUUUGAAACUGGCAGGCUAGAGUCUUGUAGAGGGGGGUAGAAUUUCAGGUGUAGCGGUGAAAUGCGUAGAGAUCUGAAGGAAUACCAGUGGCGAAGGCGGCCCCCUGGACAAAGACUGACGCUCAGAUGCGAAAGCGUGGGGAGCAAACAGGAUUAGAUACCCUGGUAGGAUAGCG